rnacentral:lncRNA from 1 species
CGAUCGAAAAUGAAACUGUGGAUGUAAAUAAGCGAUAUCAAGGCUGCGAGGCCGGAACGGGUAUGCGCAGAGAAAAAACCGCGUAUAUACACGACCUUCAAGUUGGAGUUGCGUGGUUUUAACUUAGAGCGGUAGAACGGGUCUGGUGUCCGGCGGCCAACAAAAGCAAGGAGAAAAUGCGCGCCGAGGCCGGGUAUAUAAGCUCGACUUUGGCCCCCACACCGCUUAUAACGCUUUUCAAGUUCAAGGUCUCGAGUUCGAGUCCUCCGGAGUGCUUGAGUUUGUGGUUUUGGCGCGUCUUUGUGGACUUUUCGUCGCGAAUAUGUUCGACUCCCUCGUGUUUUUGGCUGUUACGGUCUCCAUCUUCUGUUUGAUCAAAGUGGCCGAGCCUGCAUCCUACUAUGGGUACCAUCCGACCGAUAAGCAUGAGGUGGACGCUCCACACCACGAGCCGCACUACGAGCACGAUCUCAAAUACGAAUUCGGAUACAGAGUCCACGACCCGCACUACCACAACUACCAAGAAAGAGCAGAAGCCGGAGGUGGCGACGAUGUUGAGGGAUACUACAGUUUCCUGGAGCCGAACGGAUUCAUCCGAAUCGUGAAAUACUCGUCAGACAAACACGGAUUCCGGGCCGACGUAGCCCACCACGUGCCGUCGGGCAAGAAAGAGAUCAAGCACGGGAAAUCAGACUCUUACUUCCCGCAAAAGAACAAGCACGCCAAGCAGUCGCCGGACUACCCUUACGUCUAA